UACAGAGGUCCCAAGCGUUGUUCGGAUUCACUGGGCGUAAAGGGCUCGUAGGCGGCCAACUAAGUCAGACGUGAAAUCCCUCAGCUUAACUGGGGAACUGCGUCUGAUACUGGAUGGCUUGAGAUUGGGAGAGGGAUGCGGAAUUCCAGGUGUAGCGGUGAAAUGCGUAGAUAUCUGGAGGAACACCGGUGGCGAAGGCGGCAUCCUGGACCAACACUGACGCUGAGGAGCGAAAGCCAGGGGAGCAAACGGG
rnacentral:rRNA from 1 species